rnacentral:rRNA from 1 species
CCUACGGGGCGCAGCAGUAGGGAAUCUUCGGCAAUGGGCGAAAGCCUGACCGAGCAACGCCGCGUGAAUGAAGAAGGCCUUCGGGUUGUAAAAUUCUGUUAUAAGGGAAGAAAGGUGAUAGGAGGAAAUGACUAUCAAUUGACGGUACCUUAUGAGAAAGCCACGGCUAACUACGUGCCGGCAGCCGCGGUAAUACGUAUGGUGCAAGCGUUAUCCGGAAUGACUGGGUGUAAAGGGAGCGUAGACGGUUGUACAAGUCUGAUGUGAAAGCCCACGGCUCAACUGUGGGAGUGCAUUGGAAACUG